rnacentral:rRNA from 1 species
GACGGACCGUCCAAACGUUAUUCGGAAUCACUGGGCUUAAAGGGUGCGUAGGCGGUCCGGGAAGUUGGGUGUGAAAGCCCUCGGCUCAACCGAGGAAUUGCGCCCAAAACUGCCGGGCUUGAGGGAGACAUAGGUGAGCGGAACUUAGGGUGGAGCGGUGAAAUGCGUUGAGAUCCUAAGGAACACCAGUAGCGAAAGCGGCUCACUGGGUCUCUUCUGACGCUGAAGCACGAAAGCUAGGGGAGCGAAGAGG